GUCCAGACUCCUACGGGAGGCAGCAGUGGGGAAUAUUGCACAAUGGGGGAAACCCUGAUGCAGCGACGCCGCGUGAGCGAUGAAGUAUUUCGGUAUGUAAAGCUCUAUCAGCAGGGAAGAAAAUGACGGUACCUGACUAAGAAGCCCCGGCUAACUACGUGCCAGCAGCCGCGGUAAUACGUAGGGGGCAAGCGUUAUCCGGAUUUACUGGGUGUAAAGGGAGCGUAGACGGCAUGGCAAGUCAGAUGUGAAAGCCCGGGGCUCAACCCCGGGACUGCAUUUGAAACUGUCAGGCUGGAGUGCAGGAGAGGUAAGUGGAAUUCCUAGUGUAGCGGUGAAAUGCGUAGAUAUUAGGAGGAACACCAGUGGCGAAGGCGGCUUACUGGACUGUAACUGACGUUGAGGCUCGAAAGCGUGGGGAGCAAACAGGAUUAGAUACCCCAGUAG
rnacentral:rRNA from 1 species